UACGUAGGUGGCAAGCGUUGUCCGGAUUUAUUGGGUUUAAAGGGUGCGUAGGCGGCCCUGUAAGUCAGUGGUGAAAUACUCUAGCUUAACUAGAGGGGUGCCGUUGAUACUGCAGGGCUUGAGUACAGACGAGGUAGGCGGAAUUGACGGUGUAGCGGUGAAAUGCAUAGAUAUCGUCAAGAACUCCGAUAGUGAAGACAGCUUACUAGGCUGUAACUGACGCUGAGGCACGAAAGUGUGGGGAUCAAACAGG
rnacentral:rRNA from 1 species